rnacentral:rRNA from 1 species
CCUACUGGAGGCAGCAGUGAGGAAUAUUGGUCAAUGGACGAUAGUCUGAACCAGCCAAGUAGCGUGCAGGAUGACUGCCCUAUGGAUUGUAAACUUCUUUUAUACAGGAAUAAAGUGAGGCACGUGUGCCUUUUUUUAUGUACUUUAUGACUAAGGAUCGGCUAACUCCGUGCCGGCCGCCUCGGUACUACGGAGGAUCCGAGCGUUAUCCGGAUUUCUUGGGUUUAAAGGGAGCGUAGAUGGUUUGUUAAGUCAUUUGUGAAAGUUGGAGGCUCAACCGUAAAAUUGCAAUUGAUACUGGCAGCCUUGAGUACAGUUGAGGUAGGCGGAAUUCGUGGUGUAGCGGUGAAAUGCUUAGAUAUCACGAAGAACUCCGAUUGCGAAGGCAGCUUACUAAACUGCAACUGACAUUGAUGCUCGAAAGUGUGGGGAUCAAACAGGAUUAGAUACCCUUGUAGUC